rnacentral:rRNA from 1 species
CGCGGCCUAUCAGCUUGUUGGUGGGGUAACGGCCUACCAAGGCAUCGACGGGUAGCUGGUCUGAGAGGACGAUCAGCCACACUGGGACUGAGACACGGCCCAGACUCCUACGGGAGGCAGCAGUGGGGAAUAUUGCGCAAUGGGCGAAAGCCUGACGCAGCAACGCCGCGUGGGGGAUGACGGCUUUCGGGUUGUAAACCCCUUUCAGUGAUGACGAAAAUGACGGUAAUCACAGAAGAAGCCCCGGCCAACUACGUGCCAGCAGCCGCGGUAACACGUAGGGGGCGAGCGUUGUCCGGAUUUAUUGGGCGUAAAGAGCUCGUAGGCGGUUGCGUAAGUCGGAUGUGAAAACUCAGGGCUCAACCCUGAGCCGCCAUCCGAUACCGCGCUGACUAGAGUCCGGUAGGGGAGCAUGGAAUUCCUGGUGUAGCGGUGAAAUGCGCAGAUAUCAGGAGGAACACCAGUAGCGAAGGCGGUGCUCUGGGCCGGUACUGACGCUGAGGAGCGAAAGCAUGGGUAGCAAACAGGAUUAGAUACCCUGGUAGUCCAUGCCGUAAACGUUGGGCACUAGGUGUGGGACCUACUUAACGGGUUCCGUGCCGUAGCUAACGCAUUAAGUGCCCCGCCUGGGGAGUACGG